GGAGUUAGGAAAUGUAAGUGCGCUAAUAUCGAGCUUAUUUGACAAAGGCUCCAAAGGAAGCCACGGCUAACUCUGUGCCAGCAGCCGCGGUAAUACAGAGGUGGCGAGCGUUGUUCGGAAUUAUUGGGCGUAAAGAGCACGUAGGUGGGUUUGCAAGUCAGAUGUGAAAGCCUUCUGUUCAACGGAAGAAUUGCAUCUGAAACUACAAGUCUUGAGUAUAGGAGGGGAGAGUGGAACUUCUGGU
rnacentral:rRNA from 1 species